rnacentral:rRNA from 1 species
UACGGAGGGUGCGAGCGUUGUCCGGAAUCACUGGGCGUAAAGGGCGCGUAGGUGGCGCGAGAAGUCAACGGUGAAAGCCCGGGGCUCAACCCCGGGUCGGCCGUCGAUACUCUUGGGCUCGAGCACUGUAGGGCAGGUGAAGUCGGGAUUCGGUAGCGGUGGAAUGCGUAGAGAUCCGGAAGAACACCGGUGGCGAAGGCGGCCUGCUGGGCAGUUGCUGACACUGAGGCGCGACAGCGUGGGGAGCAAACAGG